rnacentral:rRNA from 1 species
CCUACGGGUGGCAGCAGUGGGGAAUAUUGGACAAUGGGCGAAAGCCUGAUCCAGCCAUGCCGCGUGUGUGAAGAAGGCCUUCGGGUUGUAAAGCACUUUCAGUGGGGAAGAAAGCCUUGGGGCUAAUACCCUCGAGGAAGGACAUCACCCACAGAAGAAGCACCGGCUAACUCCGUGCCAGCAGCCGCGGUAAUACGGAGGGUGCGAGCGUUAAUCGGAAUUACUGGGCGUAAAGCGCGCGUAGGCGGUCUGAUAAGCCGGUUGUGAAAGCCCCGGGCUCAACCUGGGAACGGCAUCCGGAGCUGGAAGGCGAGAGUGCGGGAGAGGAAGGUAGAAUUCCAGGUGUAGCGGUGAAAUGCGUAGAGAUCGGGAGGAAUACCAGUGGCGAAGGCGGCCUUCUGGACUGACACUGACGCUGAGGUGCGAAAGCGUGUGUAGCAAACAGGAUUAGAUACCCGAGUAGUC